CUCAGUGUGCAGCGCGCCGCUAUGGAGUGAGCGUCUCGCCGCGUGUGUGCCACCUCGUGCAGUGAGUGCAGUGCAAAGUGCAGUGAAGUGAACCAGUGUACCCAGUGUACCCGCAUCGCCACUUGGAGUACCCGGCGUGCGGGAGUGCAAGUGCCAGUGUGUCUGUGAGCGUGAGUGCACUAGAGUGCCGGCAACGCCCCGCGCCCACCAGCCUGCCCGGCCUGGCCUGCCUGGCCAUCGCCAGCACGGAGUCCCCCAAGGCUGCCCGAAGGCUGCCUUGGUCUGGGCCGCGCCUCGCGUCGCCUCGCGCCUCGGAUUCAGUCUUUGGAAGGGAACAAAACGUCCAAAAAGCACAAGAAGCUCGCCGUAGAAUGGAUACGGCGAUAAACAGCUCGUCGGGGGACCCGGCCCACCCGGCCGCUGCAGCCAGACCCCAGCCAGAGCCGUCAUAUGCCCGGCUGUGGGGGUCAGCCUGAGUCGUUUCUGCAAGGAGGCGGGCAGACUUGCGGGCGUGAUGUGAGCUCGGCCGCGAGCAGCUCCUGCUGCCAGCUGAGCCCAUGGCUCACCAUGGCGGCCGCCUCAUGCCAGCACCCUCGCUGGGCCCCCCCUUGGGCCCCCCCUUGGGCCCCCCGUCCCCCCUGGUGCCCCUUCGA